rnacentral:rRNA from 1 species
CAGCACCUCAAGUGGUCAGGAUGAUUAUUGGGCCUAAAGCAUCCGUAGCCUGCUUUGUUAGUUUUCGGUUAAAUCCAUACGCUCAACGUAUGGGCUGCCGGGAAUACUGCAAAGCUAGGGAGUGGGAGAGGUAGACGGUACUCGGUAGGAAGGGGUAAAAUCCUUUGAUCUAUUGAUGACCACCUGUGGCGAAGGCGGUCUACCAGAACACGUCCGACGGUGAGGGAUGAAAGCUGGGGGAGCAAACCGGAUUAGAUACCCGCGUAGUCC